GGUAGUGUGGCCGAGCGGUCUAAGGCGCUGGAUUUAGGCUCCAGUCUCUUCGGAGGCGUGGGUUCAAAUCCCACCACUGCCA
rnacentral:tRNA from 1 species